GCCUGGCUGGCUCAGUCAGUGGAGCAUGUGGCUCUUAACCUCAGGGUUGUAGGUUCGAGCCCCACAUUGGGUG
rfam:Felis catus isolate Cinnamon breed Abyssinian chromosome E3, whole genome shotgun sequence.